rnacentral:rRNA from 1 species
UACGGAGGGCGCAAGCGUUGUUCGGAAUUACUGGGCGUAAAGCGCGUGUAGGCGGUCUGGUAAGUCGGUUGUGAAAUCCCCGGGCUCAACCCGGGAACUGCGACCGAAACUGCUGGGCUAGAGUUCCGGAGAGGAAGGCAGAAUUCCCAAUGUAGGGGUGAAAUCCGUAGAUAUUGGGAGGAAUACCAGUGGCGAAGGCGGCCUUCUGGACGGUGGCUGACGCUGAGACGCGAAAGCGUGGGGAGCAAACAGG